UGAGAUAUGGUGUAAUGGCUAGCACUAGGGAUUUUGGUUCCCUCAGUUCAGGUUCGAGUCCUGAUAUCUCAA
rnacentral:tRNA from 2 species